rnacentral:lncRNA from 1 species
GCUGACUCGGAACAUGGCUGCACAAUGAGAGUUCUUGGCAGGCGACACCCAGACACCAGAACCAAGCACAGACCCCACGCUGCAACUGGAGAAACAUUUCUGUGGCCGUCCAAAAAAACCCAGAAGACCAUCUGUCAUUGGUGAAGAAAGUAUCUCGGACAGUGAAUGGUUCUUCAUAGUGGUGUCAAGCAAAAGAAAAACCAAACCUGUCAUUGUCAUCUAUGUGUAGAAAAUUACUGAGAGCACCUCUGUUAGAAUUUUAGUGUUUAAGAACUGUACAGGGCAUGGUAACUAUGAGAAUGCUGCUCUACAAAAUCAAAUUGAAA